rnacentral:rRNA from 1 species
GACGAACGCUGGCGGCGUGCUUAACACAUGCAAGUCGAACGGAAAGGCCCUGCUUUUGUGGGGUGCUCGAGUGGCGAACGGGUGAGUAACACGUGAGUAACCUGCCCUUGACUUUGGGAUAACUUCAGGAAACUGGGGCUAAUACCGGAUAGGAGCUCCUGCUGCAUGGUGGGGGUUGGAAAGUUUCGGCGGUUGGGGAUGGACUCGCGGCUUAUCAGCUUGUUGGUGGGGUAGUGGCUUACCAAGGCUUUGACGGGUAGUCGGCCUGAGAGGGUGACCGGCCACAUUGGGACUGAGAUACGGCCCAGACUCCUACGGGAGGCAGCAGUGGGGAAUAUUGCACAAUGGGCGGAAGCCUGAUGCAGCAACGCCGCGUGCGGGAUGACGGCCUUCGGGUUGUAAACCGCUUUCGCCUGUGACGAAGUGUGAGUGACGGUAAUGGGUAAAGAAGCACCGGCUAACUACGU